GUGUAAGCGGGAUCGUAGCCAAGAAUGGCGUCGCCGAAGCGCGUCGCGAAGUGCCGCUGGGAACCAGUAUUGCGCUCGAGCGUGCCGCCGUCGGUGGUCACGGCUGCAGGAAGCAGGAGGUGACGGAGACGGCAGAGGAUCGACGACGUCGCCGAGGCCACGCUGGCGCGCCGACGAGGCGACACGACGGUGCUCGGCCCCUGUGUCUCACUGUGAUCGUAACUCGGUGGUUGUGGUGGUGCGCUUUCUAGCUCUACUGCGCGCCGCUGUCAACAACGCGGCUGUGCGCGGGGCUGCAACCAUGUGUUGCUGCUUCCCGAGGCGACGGAUCAUUGCAGCGGCGUCGCCAAUGCGCUCGUCAGCAGCGCAGGCCGAGGAGAGGCGCCCGAGAGGCUAUUUUUGAACCCUCCAUGCGCCCCGAAAGCUGGCUGCCUGACCCGCGGCGAUGGAUCUUAAGUCGGAGUCGGACUUUUACGUUGGCUGCCGGGCGCUCGCGCCCGUCGCUGCAUACUUUGGACUCAGUAUUGACAAGUUCAACUUCCUGUUCUGCCAAAUUGCGUUCCUGCUGUUCUCGUUCCCGUACCGCAUACUGCUGCACCCGUCACGGGUGUCCCCGACGGCGAGACACAUCGUGGCCCUCGCCGUUGGACUCGUCUUCGGUUAUUUCUGCUUCGGAUACCAAAUUCUUCACCUCGUUGCGCAAGCCACCCUCGUUUACAUGAUCAUCAAUUAUGCCAGUCCCGAACGUAUGCACAAGAUUGUGCUGGCGGUCGGCAUGGGCUACUUGUCGGCUAUCCACAUAAUGCGGCAGAUCUACGACUACGGGGGCUACCACCUGGACGUGACCGGUCCGCUGAUGGUGGCCACGCAGAAGGUGACCAGCAUUGCUUUCAACCUGCACGACGGUCUUACAGAGAGAAAGGACAUCAUACUGCACCCCGAGCAGAGAAGGCAGAUGGUCAGCCGGAUGCCGAGUCCGCUGGAGUUCUACAGCUACGUCCUGCACUACCACACGCUCAUGUGCGGACCGCUGGUGUUCUUCAACGACUACAUGGACUUCAUCCGGGGAAAGCAGUUCUUGAGGCACAGCGUCCGCACCGGACUUCGGGGACACCCGACGUCUGUUGUGGAGCCGUCGCCAACUUGGGCGACUCUACGGAAGCUUUUCGUUAGCUUCAUGAGCGCCGUGAGCAUCGUUUACCUGCUUUCUGCCUACCCUAUCGAAUACAUUAAGCAGGAUGAGUUCCUCUACAAUAGGAGCAGGUUGUGGCAAAUGCUGUACAUCAUCUGGGCCACUUCGCUACACCGGCAUCGGUACUACCACGCCUGGACUCUAGGUGAAGCAAUUUGCAAUGCUGCUGGCUUCGGUUUCAACGGCUACACAAGUGAUAACAAAGCGCGAUGGAACCUUAUCAGCAACGUGGACAUCGUCACCAUUGAGACUUCGACGAGUCUACGCGAGCUGAUCAUAGCGUGGAACAAGUCGACUCAGACCUGGCUGCGCACUGUGUCGUACGAGCGGGUGCGCCGCCACCGGACCCAGCUGACAUUCAUCCUGUCGGCCAUGUGGCACGGCUUCUACCCGGGAUACUACCUCACCUUCGGCACCGGGACGCUCUUUACCCUGGGCGCCCGAGCGGUGCGUCGUAGCGUGCGACCCCUGUUCCAGGGCAGCCGCCAGAAACAGAGGCUGUACGACCUUGUCACCUGCCUAGCGACGCGCGUGGCUGUCGGCUACAUGGUGUUUCCGUUCCUUCUGCUAGACUUCCACUCCAGCUUCAGGGUUUACCGCCACUUUGGAUUCGUGGGCCACGUGAUGUGCCUGCUGGCCAUGUAUGUUCUACCCCGGGUGCUGCCGCCGCCGCCGCGAACGCCGUCCCGGUGUUGUACGUCGCCCACGUCACCGCGGAUCGCCGAGGGACACCCGCGCAGCAUCGACCUAAGCCCGCAGGACGCCCAUGGGUCGCAGCCGAAGGACGAGCAGGAGGACGAAGUUCAACAGUCACACAGCUCGGAGUCAGACGACACGAUCUCGGUCGAGUCCGCGCACGAGGUCGAAGCCAAGAAGUCCAACUCUCAGCUGUCGCAGGUCGCGGAGAACGACCCGGUGGUGCCGACCACGACCUCCACCCUUCCCGACCCGCCCGACGCGCAGCCGCCUGGUGAUAAGAAGACACAGUAGCAAAAGCAGACCUGUAUAGACUUUCUUUUUUCCCAGGAGUUCCCGCGCCCUGUGAAGAAAUGAAGAGACUGAAGCAAGAGAGCAGUGCGGCAUCCGAUGUGUUACCCGCACGGGGCGUUGUGCUUUCUCGACUGUGUCGUGUUUCAUGCUUUUCGUUUAAGUCGACGGUGCAAACGCGGGAUUGUAGCUAUGUAUGGGCGAGAUGUUACCGCUUGCGAGACGUUGUAUCGAUGUUCUAACGGACGUAUCCAUCGUGGCCGCCGUUGAAGAGUGGGCAGUACCACGCAGAAUGGUAUGCUAAAAAUAGAAAAAAAAAUCUAGGCGCAACAAAAUUAUCCUAGCAAUUAGUGAUUUUAAUUAGCGCACGUUAGGAUUGAGGACGAUGACGCGGAGGUAGCGCUAGUUGAUCGACGGAACUCGGCAGUCGUAUUCAGAGACUGUAUACUGUGUCCCUGAGCCGCAUUCCGAGAGUUCGUUUGAUGACGGGUUUUUCGUGGGUUGAAGCGGGGUCUUCUCAACAUUUACUGUCCAGCGGCUGCAUCACCAAGUUCCUAUGUACCGCACCUGUCCAGGUGUAAUGGAACGCGUAAUGGAAUCGUUCACUUUAUCAAUACACCUCGCAACGUGUAGCGUA
rnacentral:misc_RNA from 1 species